UACGUAGGGUGCGAGCGUUAAUCGGAAUUACUGGGCGUAAAGUGUGCGCAGGUGGCCGCGCAAGUCGAGUGUGAAAUCCCCGAGCUUAACUUGGGAAUUGCGCUCGAAACUACGUGGCUCGAGUGUGGCAGAGGAAGGUGGAAUUCCACGUGUAGCGGUGAAAUGCGUAGAGAUUUGGAGGAACACCAGUGGCGAAGGCGAUUUUCUGGUCUGUAACUGACACUGAGGCGCGAAAGCGUGGGGAGCAAACAGG
rnacentral:rRNA from 1 species